CGCGGCGACGGGUAUUCUCGGGCGGAUAGCACGGGCUGGCUGUUAUUGCUGGAGAAUACGCGUAGCCGAG
rfam:Pterocles gutturalis contig72980, whole genome shotgun sequence.